rnacentral:rRNA from 1 species
UACGUAGGGGGCAAGCGUUGUCCGGAAUCAUUGGGCGUAAAGAGCUCGUAGGCGGUUCGUCGCGUCGGCUGUGAAAACCUGAGGCUCAACCUCAGGCCUGCAGUCGAUACGGGCGGACUUGAGUACUGCAGGGGAGACUGGAAUUCCUGGUGUAGCGGUGAAAUGCGCAGAUAUCAGGAGGAACACCGGUGGCGAAGGCGGGUCUCUGGGCAGUAACUGACUGAGGAGCGAAAGCGUGGGGAGCGAACAGG